rnacentral:rRNA from 1 species
GACGUAGGGUGCGAGCGUUGUCCGGAUUUACUGGGCGUAAAGAGCGCGCAGGCGGUCGUUCAAGUCGCGUGUGAAAGCCCCCGGCUCAACUGGGGAGGGUCACGCGAUACUGAUCGACUCGAAGGCAGGAGAGGGAAGUGGAAUUCCCGGUGUAGUGGUGAAAUGCGUAGAUAUCGGGAGGAACACCAGUGGCGAAGGCGACUUCCUGGCCUGUUCUUGACGCUGAGGCGCGAAAGCUAGGGGAGCAACGGGG